rnacentral:rRNA from 1 species
GGUGACCUCGAUCAGUAGUGCGAGUCCGGCC